GCCAGGCCGCCGCCAUCCGGUCGUGAUCGUAACCGAGACCUUGUCUGCGCCGUGGCACACCAGGCCCAGAUCCACAGCCCUCGACAGCCGCGACCCUCGAGCCCUUCCUCUGCAGAUUCCGACCUCUACUUGAACGCGCAUAGAAAAAUAAGACACCCUCACUCCACCGCUCUCCCCAAGCAAGCCCUGGAUCUCUCCCGGUUCCCUUCCAAAGGAAUGUUGGGGAGGAGAGGAGGUGGAGAUAGAAAACUGGACAUAGACUGAAGGUGAAAGAAAAACAAAGAAAAGGAAAGAAAAAACGGAAGGGGUAAAGAAGAAAGAGAAAAAAGAGGAAGGAAGGAGGGAAGGAAAGAAGGAAUAGUCAAAGGCAGCUCUUGGGAGUAGAGGGCGGUUUACAGAGAGAAGGGUAAGUGACAAAGCCAGGAUCCCAGCUCCUGUCAGCCCUGUCCCUCAUAAUUUAGACUGAGUCUCCACUGGCAAAGGGAUCUUUCCUGAUCCCGUACCCUGGAUUGGGGCUGGAGGUGUCCCAGCCUUGCAGGAGAAUGGCAGAGUCCCUAGCCAGGCGCAGGCCUGGAGCGGGGGAGGCCCAGGAUGGAAGCGUGCGCCCCUGACCUUGAAUGGCCCGAGGCCCAGAAUUCCUACCACGCCCCUGGCGUCCUCGAAGGAGCAGCUAACCUGACCGUACCUGCUCCGGGCCAGGUGGGGGCGGGGGGGUGAAGCCAGCAGCCUGGCAGAGCGCUGAGAAGGAGGCAGCGUCGAGGCUCCUGCGCGGGAUAAGCCGCGGUUGCCACCGCAGGCCUGGCACGACCAGGGCCCGGAUGCCCCGCCCGGCCCGGCCCCGCGCGCACAGGUACCUGAGACGAUUUCAACUGAAGUAAUGAAGGCAGUGUCGUGCUGUCGAGAGAAAGGUGGAUCCCAACAACAGGAAACUACCUAAAUCACCGACCAGUUCUGGUGCUGCCCGCGCGGAGCUGCCUCGCCCGCCGCCGCCGCCGUUACUGCCGCCGCCGCCGCCAAAGGAGAACCCUGUGAUCGCGCCCGGCCCCUCGCCAACCUGCGCCCGCCGCUGUCAAUGUGUGUCCCAGGCUGCCGCUAAGGCAUCACGGAGGGAGAAGCCACCGGCCCCGCUCCCCUCUCAACUGAAACCACUGGUCCAAGACAGCCACAAUCCAGAUAUACUAGCAAGUCAUAAAACUGAACAAAAGCCGACAAACCUUACGGCACCAGGGCUAUAGGGCCCAGACAAAUUACGACCGUCUAGGUAAUAUUUAAAUAGAUGCCUAAAGUAAUUGCAGGGGGCGCGGGCUAGUCCUCCUGUUGUAAAAGUGGUGGACGGGAUAAAGUGGAAGGUGAAGAUAAGAAGUAAAAAAAAAAAAAAAGAGGUAAAAUUAAGAAGCUUCAUUCCACAGCUUUUAUUCUUCUAUAAGAACAUAAACAUCGUCUUUUCCACGCACAGCAGCAUUACAAUAUUAAUUUAUUCUGAUUUAAGAUUAGAAGUAAAUAGAGCUAGAACUAACAUUUAUAAUAACGAUAGAAUGCAUUUGCAUAAAACAAGAUUGGCAAUUUUUCAUAAUAAUAGACAUUUAUACAGAUUUGUAUUUUAUAGUUUUUUCUUUUUCUGCACCUACAGGUUUGACCCUUUUAUGCAUGUAACUUCACAGUAUAAAGGAAACCUAACAGUGUCUCCCUUCUCUAGUCUAUUCCGCUUGCCCCAGCCCUCCUUGGCUUCCGUGAAUUUUAGAAAGAAAAAGAAAAGAAAAGAAAAAAGGGAAAAACGAGGAAAAAAACCUCCACAAGGUAGGGAGAAUUAUGGUGUGCUUGUUGUGUGUUACCAGUGGUAACAAUUAUUUAAUGACAAAAAAAUCCACUAAAUCUGCAGGUAUAAACAAAACAACAUAUGAUUAUUUAUCUACAGCCAGAAGGGCAUGGAAAUUCAGAGUAAGUGAAGUAAUUUAGUCCCACAAUGCGAGACCUUACACAAACUGGAAGAGAAGCUUCCUUCUCCUGGUCAUUCUUUUCUUCUUUUAAAGCUGGGAUAUCUUACAGAGGAAGGAAAAAUUAAUCUUUCUGACUUUCUCAGUUUUGCCAAUCAGCCAAAGUCAAGCCCUUUUGCCAACCUGCGUGUCCAUGCCUGCAAGCCCUUCUCUUUGCCAAGGAAGAAAGGAAGAAAGAAAAAAGAAACCCAGGGGCCUGUAUCCCCUGAUUAAACACAGCCCAGCACUCCAGGCAGGCAAGCCCGGUGGCGGCUCCUUGCACCAUUGACCUCAGGCCAGACACCUCAGCUGCCUACAAUGCGACCUCCGCCUUCUGGCUAGGUUUGCCGGCCCUGCAGGAAACCAGCUCCACCGGGAGGACAGAGGCCAUUUCAAGCAGUGGAACCCCGAGACAGCAAACCAUCCCUGUCACCGCUUUACAUUUAGGACAAUAUCUCUCUAUAUAGAAUUUUAGCGCUAUAUGGCUUUUUCCCCCAGAAAACAACAAAUAAACCAGCACCAAGCAAACAGAAAAAGAAACAAAAAGUCAGAACAAACCAGCCCUGCACAGAUGUAACGGCCAGCGAAAUGGUGAGUGUGGGAGGGAGGAAUGGGGCUCCCGCACAGGUGCAAGUUCCUGGGCAGAGCCGAAGACAGAGGGAGUAGAACGGCUCUCUGGAAGCGAAAAGAACCGCAUUGCCUGGAGCUUCAUCAGGAAAAAUUAAAGUUGGCUGUGAGCUCCCGGAUCCGGUUUUCUCGGUUCAUUUUCUUCAGUUUCAUUCUGCGGUUCUGAAACCAGAUUUUAACUUGUCUGUCCGUGAGGUGGACGCUGCGGCUGAUCUCUAGGCGCCGCUCUCGAGUAAGGUACAUGUUGAACAGAAACUCCUUUUCCAGCUCCAGCGUCUGGUGCUUGGUGUAGGGGCAGCGUUUCUUCCGGCCGCUCUUUGCAGUGAGCCAGUUGGCUGCGUUUUCGCCUUUGGAAUUGCCUGGCAUUUAAGAGAAUAAAGAGGGGAAGGUUAAAUCGAGGCCACGCGGGCUGCACGCAGGGGUGAAUUCGGAUCGUGCCUACCGUAAGAGGGAUGCCCUGAGUCACACGGAGAGAGUUAUGCCCCCCUUUAGCAUGCCCAGGGAGAGCAGUUCCUCCAAAAGUCAUGUGCAAAAUCGAGUGGGCCUCCAAUCUACACCUACUCUCCCAAUUUACAUUUUCCUCCACUUUUUUCCAAACACCUGUUUUAACACAAAGCUGCCAGGCGCUUGCAGAAGGAACGGCCUGGGAGGGCAGGCUGUAUAUCUUGAACUUAACGCCUUUCUUUGCUUCUCGCCCCAAGGCAGACAAGCAUUUCCUGCAGCCCCCAGGCUGGGGGCGAAGAGUGGUUACUUGGAAGGGGGGCAGGCAACGUGGCUGUGUCUCACUCCAGUUCCCUGGUUGCCCAAGGCCUGAUGAGGAGAGGAAGAAGGACAUAGAUGGGACAUGGGGAAGGCACGAAAAACUGAUUGGGGUCAAGGACCCUGCCUCGCGUCUCUCCAGGAGCCAGGGACGUGCAACCUGGGCGAUUUCGAGUUCCAGGGGAAGCGAAAUGGCCCCUUUCUGACUCUCAGAUCAGGGCCCAGGCAUCCGGGCUGCAUAUGCCUUUUCUUCUCCCCGCAACGAGGAUUCCCGUCCUUCCAGCAACUUUGAAAAAAGCAAGGGGGAUCGUAAACUCGAACUUCGCCGGUUAAUGGGCUUAUUUAUUGGUGCUGGCGGCUGCUUAUUUUGGAUGCCUUACAAACAUCCGCGCUAUCUGCGGGCGAGACACUUUCCCUCCCUCCCCCUCCCCCCCGCGUGGGCCGCGCCUGGCAGGCUGGGCCCAGACCACCGCUUAGGGUGCUCCGGGGCUCGGAGAAGGGCACGCACAAGAGGGGAGCUGCUUGCCGGUGUCCUCGCCCCCAGUCGGAGGACGUCUUGGUGUGGGGCGCUAAGCCUGACAUGAAUUUUUACUGCGUCCCCACGCCCAAAUAUUAAAAAGCAAGUUCACAA